CUACCAUAUGGAGAAACCUAAUCACAUCUUCACUGUGGCAUCAGCGAGAUCUUCCUUGAAAAACUUGAACAUUUCUGUUACACACUACGUUUUAUGUGAGUCACUUGAGUCAUGAGCUGAAGAUGAACUGAAACCAUUUCAGUUAUGACUGUACAGUGAGCAUCAUCUGAAAAUUGGCCUCUAGAGAUGAAAGCCCUGCAAUGAGGGAUGUACUCAGUCCUGACAUCCACAGCCAUGGAGGUGUCUGACUCACUGGAACCAGCGAUGGCAAGGAUGAGACUGUAUUCCAGGAGGAUGCUCAGAGAUGCGCACUUCUUUCUUGGCUCAACACACCACUGGGAACUUCUGACUUGCCAUAUGAAUUCUCUAACUGUGAAACCGCUUAGUCAGACAAGAUGGGAGAGUCACAUUGAUGAUUUGAAGCCUCUUUGCAAUAAACCUGGAAACAUUUAUGAUGUCCUAAUUGAAAUUUCUGAUGAUACUAACUUGACUGGAUCAUCUGGCAAUAUGGCAUGUUCAGAUGCAGAAGCUUUUGGAAAUGGCCUUUCCAAGUUCAAAUCUGUGACUUCACUCAUUUUGUGGUAUAAUAUUCUUUUUGAGAUUAACUUCACUAGUAAGCAGCUUCAAGAAAAGAACUUGAACAUACAUUCUGCUAUUCAAAAACUACAGCAAACUAAAAAUAUUCUGGAGGAAUUCAGAAGUGAUGAAGGGUUUGAAAGAACUCUGGUAGAUUCUCUUGAGCUUGCUGAAGAAAUAGACUUUCUGACAGAAUUUGAACCAUAGCCAGUUCUCAUCUAGCAAAAGAAACAGAAGUUUUCAUAUGAAGGACGAGACACAUCCAUUCAGAACCCCAAACAAAGAUUCAAAGUGAAUUUCUACUUUGCAGUCCUUGGUACUGCUAUUCACUAGGUUGAUGAAAGAUUUCAAUAGAUGUAGCAGUUAGAGUCAGUAUUUAGCUUUCUAUAUUAUAUCCACAGCUUGCAAAAGAAAACAGCAAAACAGAUAAGAG
rnacentral:lncRNA from 1 species